rnacentral:misc_RNA from 1 species
UAUCACUCACUUUCGAGAAGUCACAUUCUUCGAGAGUGGAUUUGGGUGUUGCUGGUGAUUACAUCGGCUCGCCUUGAAAUGCAUUAGUGGUGUGAUUGGCCACGGACCUGAGGGUGUGAUACUUGAUGUUACGCCUGUGUUGUUCGAGUGCUCGCAUUGCUCAUAACCCGACGUGUUUCUUAGCAUGUCAACUUUUUAAU